rnacentral:rRNA from 1 species
UACGUAGGUGGCAAGCGUUAUCCGGAAUUAUUGGGCGUAAAGCGCGCGCAGGUGGUUUCUUAAGUCUGAUGUGAAAGCCCACGGCUCAACCGUGGAGGGUCAUUGGAAACUGGGAGGCUUGAGUGCAGAAGAGGAAAGCGGAAUUCCACGUGUAGCGGUGAAAUGCGUAGAGAUGUGGAGGAACACCAGUGGCGAAGGCGGCUUUCUGGGCUGUAACUGACACUGAGGCGCGAAAGCGUGGGGAGCGAACAGG